rnacentral:rRNA from 1 species
UACGAAGGGGGCUAGCGUUGCUCGGAAUCACUGGGCGUAAAGCGCACGUAGGCGGCUUUCUAAGUCAGGGGUGAAAUCCUGGAGCUCAACUCCAGAACUGCCUUUGAUACUGGAGAGCUCGAGUCCGGAAGAGGUGAGUGGAACUCCGAGUGUAGAGGUGAAAUUCGUAGAUAUUCGGAAGAACACCAGUGGCGAAGGCGGUCUGCUGGGCCAGUACUGACGCUGAGGUACGAAAGCGUGGGUAGCGAACGGG